rnacentral:rRNA from 1 species
ACUCCUACGGGGAGGCAGCAGGUGAGGAAUAUUGGUCAAUAGGGUGCAAGCCUGAACCAGCCAUCCCGCGUGAAGGAACGACUGCCCUAUGGGUUGUAAACUUCUUUUGUAUAGGGAUAAACCUACCCUCGUGAGGGUAGCUGAAGGUACUAUACGAAUAAGCACCGGCUAACUCCGUGCCAGCAGCCGCGGUAAUACGGGAGGGGUGCAAGCGUUAUCCGGAUUUAUUGGGGUUUAAAGGGUCCGUAGGCGGACUUAUAAGUCAGUGGUGAAAGCCUGUCGCUUAACGAUAGAACUGCCAUUGAUACUGUAAGUCUUGAGUAUAUUUGAGGUAGCUGGAAUAAGUAGUGUAGCGGUGAAAUGCAUAGAUAUUACUUAGAACACCAAUUGCGAAGGCAGGUUACCAAGAUAUAACUGACGCUGAGGGACGAAAGCGUGGGGAGCGAACAGGAUUAGAUACCCUGGUAGGAUAGCC